CAGGCAGACUCUACCAUCUGAAUGCACCCGAUCUCAUCUGAUCUCAGAAGCGAAGCAGAGUCAGGCCUGGUUCAGUUCAGUUCAGUCGCUCAGUCAUGUCCGACUGUUUGC
rnacentral:rRNA from 1 species